UUCCAUAGUGGCUGCAGCAAUUUACAUUCCCACCAACAGUGUAGGAGGGUUCCUUUUUCUCCACACCCUCUCCAGCAUUUUUUAUUUGUAGACAUUUUAAUGAUAGUCCUUCUGACUGGUGUGCAGUAGUACCUCACUGUACGUUUGAUUUGCAUUUCUGUAAUAAUUAAUGAUGUUGAGCCUAUUUUCAUGGGAGCACUUUUAAAUAUAU